rnacentral:rRNA from 1 species
UACGGGGGGGGCAAGCGUUGUUCGGAAUUACUGGGCGUAAAGGGUUUGUAGGUGGUCUGUUAAGUCAGACGUGAAAUCCCUCAGCUUAACUGGGGAACUGCGUCUGAUACUGGAUGGCUUGAGUUUGGGAGAGGGAUGCGGAAUUCCAGGUGUAGCGGUGAAAUGCGUAGAUAUCUGGAGGAACACCGGUGGCGAAGGCGGCAUCCUGGACCAACACUGACACUGAGGAGCGAAAGCCAGGGGAGCAAACGGG